ensembl:lncRNA
UACAGCUUAACCACUGGUUUAUUACCACACUGUUCCUGGAAGUUGUUUUUACAUGCCCUGACUUCACCAACUCCCUCCCUUCCAGAAAACUAAUAACUCCCUGAGUCAGAAUAGCGGGUGUGUUUGAGUAACGCACAUUCCAGACACAUUCGCCGACUUUCAAAUUACCAGUUCCUGUAUUUGCUUUGGUGGAUGGGGGGAGGUGUGUGUGGGGGGGGUCUCAGAUCACAGGGAUCUCCGAGUCAAUGCUGGCGUGUUCUUGGCUUGGGGAGCCUAUUAGGCCGCUGUGUUCCAGCUGCCGGCCCCGCACUUGGCGACAGUGGUUUUCACGGUCAGUAAACAGUGGAUCUCUCUCUGUCUCUCUCUCUCUUAGCAAACUCUCCACUCCCCAACUCAAAUCACAGCUUUCAGAGGCCCAGGUCAUGGGAGGUGAAAACAGCAAUGCUUAUCCCUCCCACCCUCACUUAAGGGGAGGGGGGGGGGGGGGGGGGGGUUGUUUGUGUGUGCCAGAGUGUUUUUUUUUCUUCUUUUUCUUUUCACUUGCAUUCACAGCUUGUCUUGUUGUGACAGAGCUCGUUUGACAAAGUGGACACAGACUGUCUUCUGUCUUCUUUCAGUAGGGGUAGCUGCUGCACUAACCUACGCUCAUCCAACGAGCAUGUACACACAAAGAACAGCCAUGGUCAAGGUUUAAAAAUAAUGACUGAUAAGAUAACUCUACUUAGUAAUAGCAGAAACAGCGAGACCAAUCAAAGUAAUUAAACUCUUUUUUGCUUGGUAGUCAGGUCAAAACUUCAGACUGCUUC